rnacentral:rRNA from 1 species
UACGAAGGGGGCUAGCGUUAAUCGGAAUUACUGGGCGUAAAGCGUGCGCAGGCGGUCUUGCAAGACAGAUGUGAAAUCCCCGGGCUCAACCUGGGAACUGCAUUUGUGACUGCAAGGCUAGAGUACGGUAGAGGGGGAUGGAAUUCCGCGUGUAGCAGUGAAAUGCGUAGAUAUGCGGAGGAACACCGAUGGCGAAGGCAAUCCCCUGGACCUGUACUGACGCUCAUGCACGAAAGCGUGGGGAGCAAACAGG